rnacentral:rRNA from 1 species
AUUGAACGCUGGCGGCAGGCUUAACACAUGCAAGUCGAGCGGGGUGAUGGUGCUUGCACUAUCACUUAGCGGCGGACGGGCGAGUAAUGCUUAGGAAUCUGCCUAUUAGUGGGGGACAACAUCUCGAAAGGGAUGCUAAUACCGCAUACGUCCUACGGGAGAAAGCAGGGGAUCACUUGUGACCUUGCGCUAAUAGAUGAGCCUAAGUCGGCUAAGCUAGUUGGUGGGGUAAAGGCCUACCAAGGCGACGAUCUGUAGCGGGUCUGAGAGGAUCAUCCGCCACCCUCGGACUGAGACAGGGCCCAGACUCCUACGGGAGGCCGCAGGGGGGAAUAUUGGACAGUGGGGGGAACCCUGAUCGAGCCAGGCCGCGUGUGUGAAGAAGGCCUUAUGGUUGUAAAGCACUUUAAGCGAGGAGGAGGCUCUUUUGGUUAAUACCCAAGAUGAGUGGACGUUACUCGCAGAAUAAGCACCGGCUAACUCUGUGCCAGCCGCCGCCGUAA